GAUGAACGCUGGCGGCGUGCCUAAUACAUGCAAGUCUAGCGAACAGACGAGGAGCUUGCUCCUCUGACGUUAGCGGCGGACGGGUGAGUAACACGUGGAUAACCUACCUAUAAGACUGGGAUAACCUCGGGAAACCGGAGCUAAUACCGGAUAAUAUAUUGAACCGCAUGGUUCAAUAGUGAAAGACGGUUUUGCUGUCACUUAUAGAUGGAUCCGCGCCGCAUUAGCUAGUUGGUAAGGUAACGGCUUACCAAGGCAACGAUGCGUAGCCGACCUGAGAGGGUGAUCGGCCACACUGGAACUGAGACACGGUCCAGACUCCUACGGGAGGCAGCAGUAGGGAAUCUUCCGCAAUGGGCGAAAGCCUGACGGAGCAACGCCGCGUGAGUGAUGAAGGUCUUCGGAUCGUAAAACUCUGUUAUUAGGGAAGAACAAAUGUGUAAGUAACUAUGCACGUCUUGACGGUACCUAAUCAGAAAGCCACGGCUAACUACGUG
rnacentral:rRNA from 1 species